rnacentral:lncRNA from 1 species
AUGGAGCUGCGGGGACGGGCUCCUCCCUGCGCCAGUACGGCGUGUGCUGUACGGAUAUGGAUCCUUGGCAAAACACUAGAGGGAGGAAAAAAAAAAAAAACUUGGUUUGAGGUUUUUUUGGAUGGCUCAGGCCCGUGGUUAGUCAGCCGCUGGCUCCGGGAGCUGAGCGCUGAGGGGCUCAGGGUGCUGUGGGGCCCAGGAUCCCUCCAGGGGGGCUCUGGGAUGGGGCAAGAGUUGGGGUGGGGGAGGUUUGGGGCUGCCCGUGGGCAGGCAGAAGGAUUUCCCUGGGGAAGGAGGCAGCUGGAGGCCAGCAGGAACCUCCAAUUCUGCUGUACCGGGAUGCUCGUGGCCCACGGGGCGACACCCCCGGCGUGCCCACGGUCCCAGACCCACAAAUGGGAAGGAAACAGAGGAAUUGCAGGGAUUUGGGGGCUGGGAGGGCCCAGGGCCCUGCUGGGCAGCAGCAAGGGGGGGACGGGGAAGGGGACGCGGUGUGGGUGGUGGCAGGGCAGAGAUGCCCAAGGGGCUGCCCGCUUCCAGCACGAGCUGGGUGGCAUGUGGCACUGUCCCCAGUGUCCCCAGUGUCCCCAGUGUCGCCCUGGAUGCUGCUGCCAUCUGCUGGCAGGACCCAAUCCUGCUCCGGUCCUGGGUCCGGCUGCUGCACCAAGGCUGUGGGUGCCCUCUGUCACCCCGCUGUCCCGCAGGGUGGCGCAGCCCCGUGCCUGGCUCCAUGCCCAGCACCCCAGGGUGCCCCACGCCAUGACCCCAAGGAAGCCGGGCCCCAAAAUGCCUCCAUCGGGGCCAUCAUCCUGCUCCGCUCUGCUCCCAAACCCGCCGGGAACCGACCUCCCCCCGGCUCUCCGACGCCUCCGCGCCCACCUCGCCCCGGCCUCUCCAUCCCGUGCCCUUCGCAAGCAGAGGCAGAAGGGGCAAGGCCCAAAUCCUCCCCGCACGUGGGCUCGGCGAUGCAGGAUCGGCCCCUUUGGCUGGCUCUGCGGGGCGGUUUCUCCGGGCACCGUCCACCCCUGCUCCCUUGGGGCUGCAGGAACGGGACUCUCGCCCCGCGGCUGA